rnacentral:rRNA from 1 species
AUGGGGAGGGCGCCAUGCUGCCAGAAGCUGGGGCUGAAGCAAGGAAAGUGGACCAAGGAGGAGGACGGCAUACUUGCAAACUACAUAGCCCAGCAUGGUGAGGGAUCAUGGAGGUCUCUGCCCAAGAAUGCAGGGCUACUGAGGUGUGGCAAGAGUUGCAGGCUGCGGUGGCUCAACUACCUGAGGGGCGGGCUGAAGAGGGGCAACUUCUCUAAGGAGGAGGACGAUCUCAUCGUGAAGCUCCAUGCCACCAAUGGCAACAGGUGGUCGCUAAUCGCCAGCCACCUACCAGGGCGGACCGACAAUGAGAUCAAGAACUACUGGAAUUUGCAUCUCGGGCGGCAGUUCCACAGCUUCAAGCAGACAUACACUGCCAACAACAGCACCACCAUAACCAUUGACAUCAACAAGCUUUCUGCCACCAACAGGAAACGACGAGGCGGUCAGGCGCCAGGUCAAUUGCCAAGGAGCAGCACGAAGAAGCAGCCAACACCUAAGCCCGCCAAGCCGCAGGAUGGCUCUAGCCCGAUUGGUGCCACUUCAUUAGCAUCAUGCCUACCACAGGGUAAUCAGGACCAGAACCAGCCCAUCAACAUCACUGUCAGCCAUACUUUUGGUGAGCCCUACAGUGGAAAUGGGAUAUGUCACAUGGUCAGGGACAACAUAGACCAGAAUGGUGGUGUCCUAGAGCCAAACAGUGCAAUAGAUUGGAUUGAGCUCUUGGAACCGAACAACUCAAUGAAUCAUAUUGGGCUUUUGGAGGACGAAAGCGAGAUGGAGGCCCUAUUGUCAAGCAUGGACUUGACAACUAGUGGGCAUUCAGUCAUUGAGCAUGGAGGCCAGUCUUGGUUGGAGGAUCUCCUAGACAUGGGGUGGGAGGGGUUUGCAUCCCAUCUUUGGGGCCAGUCUGCCCAGAAUGAUCUUCUCCAGACUACUAUGCCACAUGCAAUGACAGGCUCCGAGGUGAGGGAGUUCGAGCAGUUCGUAAGUUGGCUCCUCUCUGAUGAGUUCUAA